rnacentral:misc_RNA from 1 species
GUAACAAGGUUUCCGUAGGUGAACCUGCGGAAGGAUCAUUACCGAGUGAGGGCCCUCUGGGUCCAACCUCCCACCCGUGUCUAUUGUACCUUGUUGCUUCGGCGGGCCCGCCGUUUCUACGGCCGCCGGGGAGGCCUCGCGCCCCCGGGCCCGCGCCCGCCGAAGACCACAACAUGAACGCUGUUCUGAAAGUAUGCAGUCUGAGUCGAUUAUCAUAAUCAGUUAAAACUUUCAACAACGGAUCUCUUGGUUCCGGCAUCGAUGAAGAACGCAGCGAAAUGCGAUAAGUAAUGUGAAUUGCAGAAUUCAGUGAAUCAUCGAGUCUUUGAACGCACAUUGCGCCCCCUGGUAUUCCGGGGGGCAUGCCUGUCCGAGCGUCAUUGCUGCCCUCAAGCACGGCUUGUGUGUUGGGCCGCCGUCCCCGGUUUCUCCCCGGGGACGGGCCCGAAAGGCAGCGGCGGCACCGCGUCCGGUCCUCGAGCGUAUGGGGCUUCGUCACCCGCUCUGUAGGCCCGGCCGGCGCCAGCCGACGACCAACCCAACUUUUCUAAGGUUGACCUCGGAUCAGGUAGGGAUACCCGCUGAACUUAAGCAUAUCAAUAA